rnacentral:rRNA from 1 species
UGCAGUCGAGCGGAUGCAUAGAACUUGCUCUCUGAUUCAGCGGCGGACGGGUGAAUAAUGCCUAGGAAUCUGCCUGAUAGUGGGGGACAACGUUUCAAAAGGAACGCUAAUACCGCAUACGUCCUACGGGAGAAAGCAGGGGACCUUCGGGCCUUGCGCUAUCAGAUGAGCCUAGGUCGGAUUAGCUAGUUGGUGAGGUAAUGGCUCACCAAGGCGACGAUCCGUAACUGGUCUGAGAGGAUGAUCAGUCACACUGGAACUGAGACACGGUCCAGACUCCUACGGGAGGCAGCAGUGGGGAAUAUUGGACAAUGGGCGAAAGCCUGAUCCCGCCAUGCCGCGUGUGUGAAUAAGGUCUUCGGAUUGUAAAGCACUUUAAGUUGGGAGGAAGGGCAUUAACCUAGUCCGCUAGUGUUUUGAUGUUACCGA